GUCACAAUGCCUACGUCAUUCCUUUCACUGCAUUUCAUCACGUAGGCAUUCCGUGAUCUCACAUCAUCACAAGAAUAAGGAAAGGAAACCGAGAUAAGACAUCAAGAUGGACUUCCUAUUCUGAAUGGACUUGAACUCCUGAGUAGGCCUCAGUUAUAGAACCAGUAUGAUUUCAAAACAGAAUUCAGUGACACUUGUGAUAAAGACCACAGUGACCUGUGGUCCCAGAAGCAGAUGAUCCUCCUCCUAAUGAGUUGUCAGCUAUCAUUGUCAGUGCACAGUCUUCUGAAGCAGGAACAGCCAAGAAGUGGGUUCUAGGUUUGGUUCUGCCAGCUUACCACCUCAACACCACCUGACGAAUCUCCCUUCUCAUUUGUAUUAUACUCACUUGCCCGACCUUCUUUCUAGAGUGUUGUGAAUACUGCACCACUUAUAAUAAAGCCUCAAUGUGGUAUGACUUGCAUAUAUUCCUACAGAGAUGCAAAACUACAAAAGCAUUUGCAUUGUAUCAUCCCCACCCCAGUCUAUGUAUCCCUGAAAGUAAAGAAGAAAAUGGUCAAAGAAAACAAUGUAAAAAUGCUUUAAGCUGCAUAAGGAAUAUUCAAGGUCAGUAUCAGAAAAGACUCCAAAAUAGCAUGGUAGAAUAAAGCACUUCUCAGAAAUAUAGUUAAAUGUACCACCUGAGAAUAGCUUGGAUUAAGUGCUUAAAGCAUCAGAAGUUAUACAUCUGUCUGGAGUCUGGGCCAGAUGACCAGGGCUAUCUUUCUAAAAUACCAAACAGAUUAUGUCACUUUCUUGUUUAAAACUCUACAGUGUUCACUAUUAAAUACAGCUCAGCUCUGGAGUGUGAUGUUACUUCCUUUUCCCAGAAUGCCUUUAUUUUCCUUGCUCAACAAAAGCUACAAUGUCUUCAUUAUCCAGCUAAAAUGAUGCUGUCAGUUGAAGGUAUCUGCUAUUACACUCACUGGAUUAUGCUCUAGUAAUCUGUUUAAACCUUGGGCUUCUAGACUAGAGAAUGAGCCUCUAGAAAAUUAAGAUGAGGUCUAAUUAAUGUUCAUAUACCCAACGCUUAAUGCAACACUGUUAUGGAUAAAAAUAAAUUGUGACCCC